CACGCCGUAAACGCUGAUUACUAGGUGUAGGGGGUAUAGACUCCCUCUGUGCCGCAGUUAACGCAUUAAGUAUUCCACCUGGGGAGUACGGCCGCAAGGCUGAAACUCAAAGGAAUUGACGGGGACCCGCACAAGCAGUGGAGUAUGUGGUUUAAUUCGACGCAACGCGAAGAACCUUACCAAGGCUUGACAUCCUCUGACCGCUGUAGAAAUACAGCUUCUCUUCGGAGCAGAGAGACAGGUGG
rnacentral:rRNA from 1 species